AAUCCGUAUAACAAUACUCCGAGAACUGAAAGGCUUUUUGAAGUCUUCGGAUGGAAAGAAGAACCCCUGAUGCCGUCGAGCCAAGAAAAGUUUCUAAGUUUAGCUAAUGUUGCCCGUACCGUAAACCGACACAGGUGGGUGGGAUGAGUAUUCUAAGGCGCGUGGAAGAACUCUCUUUAAGGAACUCUGCAAAAUAGCACCGUAUCUUCGGUAUAAGGUGUGCCUCCCUUUGUAUUAGAAUUCACUUCGAAAGCAAAGAAGGUUACAACAAAGAGUCCCUCCCGACUGUUUACCAAAAACACAGCACUCUGCUAACUCGUAAGAGGAUGUAUAGGGUGUGACGCCUGCCCGGUGCUCGAAGGUUAAUUGAUGGGGUUAGCAUUAGCGAAGCUCUUGAUCGAAGCCCGAGUAAACGGCGGCCGUAACUAUAACGGUCCUAAGGUAGCGAAAUUCCUUGUCGGUUAAAUACCGACCUGCAUGAAUGGCGUAACGAGAUGGGAGCUGUCUCAAAGAGGGAUCCAGUGAAAUUGUAGUGGAGGUGAAAAUUCCUCCUACCCGCGGCAAGACGGAAAGACCCCGUGGACCUUUACUACAGCUUGACACUGCUAUUUGGAUAAGAAUGUGCAGGAUAGGUGGGAGGCUUUGAGUAUAUGACGCCAGUUGUAUAUGAGCCAUUGUUGAGAUACCACUCUUUCUUAUUUGGGUAGCUAACCAGCUUGAGUUAUCCUCAAGUGGGACAAUGUCUGGUGGGUAGUUUGACUGGGGCGGUCGCCUCCCAAAUAAUAACGGAGGCUUACAAAGGUUGGCUCAUAGCGGUUGGAAAUCGCUAGUAGAGUAUAAAGGUAUAAGCCAGCUUAACUGCAAGACAUACAAGUCAAGCAGAGACGAAAGUCGGUCUUAGUGAUCCGGUGGUUCUGUGUGGAAGGGCCAUCGCUCAAAGGAUAAAAGGUACCCCGGGGAUAACAGGCUGAUCUCCCCCAAGAGCUCACAUCGACGGGGAGGUUUGGCACCUCGAUGUCGGCUCAUCGCAUCCUGGGGCUGGAGCAGGUCCCAAGGGUAUGGCUGUUCGCCAUUUAAAGCGGUACGCGAGCUGGGUUCAGAACGUCGUGAGACAGUUCGGUCCCUAUCUGCCGUGGGCGUAAGAAGAUUGAAGAGAUUUGACCCUAGUACGAGAGGACCGGGUUGAACAAACCACUGGUGUAGCUGUUGUUCUGCCAAGAGCAUCGCAGCGUAGCUAAGUUUGGAAAGGAUAAACGCUGAAAGCAUCUAAGCGUGAAGCCAACUCUAAGAUGAAUCUUCUCUAAGCUCUCUAGAAGACUACUAGUUUGAUAGGCUGGGUGUGUAAUGGAUGAAAGUCCUUUAGCUGACCAGUACUAAUAGAGCGUUUGGCUUAUCUUAUAAAUA
rnacentral:rRNA from 1 species